GGCCAAGUGGCCUUUGUUUGCUUCAGCCAAAAACCAACGUGUCCCACCUCAAGUCAUGUCUCAUUUAAUGAAGGCUGACUUUUCUACAAGCUUGCAAGACAAGCUCAUUUAGAGGUUUGAUAAGGUGUGGGCUGGACCCAUGGUGCUAUGAUGCACCUAACAAUAAAUAUAUAGUUUGACUAUUGGCAGGAAAAGCAUUCCAUAGCUGACCUGGGCAGUACUCUUCCAAUUGUCUUUGUGUGCACUAUUAAGGUAGUAAUUGGAUACAUCCUCUUUUUAUAUUGAUUCCCCUAAUUAAUUCACACUUACAUGAGGAUCUAAAAUAGUGACAUACUAAUAUUGCAGGGGAUUAUAAGCUCAAAAUUUAUACAUUAUUUUUUUUUUGAUGGAAUUUAUACAUUAUAAGAGCUUGGCAUUGACAUCUGCAACAUUUUUCAGCUAUAGCUAAAUCUCAUUCUUGCCGUUACCUUCAUCUUGACUAUCUCAAUUUGGUAUGAUCAUGUUUCUCUCAAAAUUAAUUUUAUUAAAGAAAUCAUUUUCAUGGUGUAAAACUUUGUUACUACAUGUGUAUUAAUUCUAUAAAAGAAGUCAUUUUUAUGGUGUUACAACUUUGUUCCUAGAUGUGUAAAAUAUAAUCGAAAGUCUCAAAUAAAUUAAUUAACUAAAGCAUUGUAUAGUAACUAGUAUAUAAUUUUAUUUUAAUUUGUUUGAAAUCCACGUAUGCUCUGGGGUUGGGAUACUCAGUAGUUAUUAUAAGACCUUAUGAUGCUUGGCAUUGGCUUAUUUACCUUGACAUUUUUUUUUAAUAAUGGGUAUGUCUGAAUUGAAAAUCUUGUGGUCCAAAAAUUCCAAACUUCAUCAUUCAUUUUCACUUCUCAUUGCUUAGUCAUUUGAUCAUUUAUUAUUUUAAUUUUUCUUUUAAAAAAUAUUAUAUUUUUAACUCACUGUUGGGUUCUUGGAGCUACCAUAGAGUUCUCUAUCCUUUAUUUUGUCCCACUUUUUCAUUUGAUGCUUGGAUUUGUAUUCAAUUCAAAGCUAUUGCUGGUAUUCCUAUAAAGCGGGCUAGUUUACAAGAAGUAGCAACCUUGUGAAGAAAGUUGGGUUAUACUUGGUUAAAAUGUCGCAUGCCUUGGGCUAUUGGUGAUUUUGAGGGGAGAUACAUUUCAUUGCAAGCUUGGUUGUAUAUCUUCUUGAAGAAUUUGUUAUUAUUUGAUUUGUAUUUGAGAUGGUAGAUUUGAAUUUAAAUUAUGUAUAUGAUAUUGAACUUGGGUAUUGUUUUUCCUUAUUAGUAGUUAUUGAUUGAGCCAUUGUUAA